AGAUCAGCCCUGGGGUUCAGAGGGAUCCUGACGGCUACUCCUCAAGAUCCUCUCUGUUGUGAUUCAUCCCCCCCAGGCCCUACAGUUUCUCCUUCCUGACUCUUACAUUUCUUUGGAUGGCAUCACUAUUUACCUGUCUCCUCCCAUAGUUAGUUGCCAAGCACUGUGGAUUCUACCCCUCAGGGUCCAGACACCCAUUUUCCUUCCCACUGUUCCCUCCCCAUGGAGAAGCCUGUGGCUGACUGACAGCUCAACUUGGAGAAGGUGUUACCUGGGCCAGGUGGGGAAGGUAGGGUUGUUUGCAGAGCAAAGAAGUGAAGAUCCUCAUGUGACAGGUGACCUGCCAUAUAAUCAGAAGGAAGAAGUGUUACACAGAGAGGCUGAGAAGAAUCUGAGGACUUGCUAAGUUUUCCCCAGUUUAUUACCAUUAGAUCAUAUGCCUUUUUUGUUCAAUCAUACUUCUAUACAACUGUCCAUCAUUCAUUAAACCUAACACAAAAGUAGUUUUCACUCGGUUUUUGAGUGAAGGCUCCUGUGUCACAUAAAACUUACAUUAAAUAAAUUUGUUCCACUUUU
rnacentral:antisense_RNA from 1 species